GUGACAUAUGGCAACUCGUUCAAAGGCACACAGCUAAGGGUCAGCAGCAACACACUGCACUCCUGACUCCUGCUCUGAUACUUGCCUCACUGGAACCGUCAUCCCCUCUCAUGUGGCAAAUGCAGCUGGGUAUGUGGUCAGUGCAACCUGUACUUCUACAGCCACCAGCCUGCAGGCUGGACCCCAUUAGAGUGAGGAACGGAACCCCUGCUAGCCAGCCUCAGGUGACAAAACUGAGGCUCAGAGGCCAAUGGCCUUGUUCAAGGUCACACGCCCACUAAAUGAGAGACCCGGAGACCUGGCAUCACACGCUAACUAAGAAUACUGGAAGGAGAUAAGAUUGGGACUGAAAGACCUGGAUUGAAUGAUUUUUAUCAAGUCACUUCCCUUCCUUGGAUCUCCAUUUACUCAUCAAUAAACUAAGCAGAUUGGAUUAAAUGUUCUGUAAGGUGCCUUCUAGGUGAGGAAGAAGUUGGGAUAAGUCAUAAGCACCCCAAUGAACAUCUCCUGCCUCUAUGGUUUUUCUGACAUCCAUCAACAUCUGUCAGAAUUUGAAAAUGUGACUGCUUUUAGGCACUGUGCUUAGUGCUGGAGAUUCCGUGUUGAAGCUCACAGUCUGGGGCAGAGAUGGAAACAGACACAAAUAACUAUAAUACAAUGUGGUCACAGGACCCAGUUAGACUCCUGACCCAGGAGGACCAAUCCAAUCCUUUCCCUAGGAGUUGGGAAAGGAGACCAAGAGGUUAGUUUCAAUCUGAGAUGGUCCCUUGAACAGAGGAACAGCAAACUGGUGAGCUGUAUGGUAGCCAUGUUUGGCCAUGUGCACAUGAAGUGGGGAGACCAAUCUGAAGGAAGGUGGAGAAGAAAAAGGCAGAUGUGCAGAGAGAGGCACCUGACAGCUUUCUAGUCCGUUCUGAGACUCAACUGCUCCGCCUCCAUGUCCUUAAAAUAUUCCUGUGUCUUUGGAAUAAUCCCCA
rnacentral:lncRNA from 1 species